rfam:Trichomalopsis sarcophagae strain Alberta scaffold23129, whole genome shotgun sequence.
CAAUCGGCCCUUUUCAGGGCUACCAUAUAAAUUAUAUACGUUGAAC